AAAAAAUUGAAAGUGAGGCACGCCGUAGCAAAACCUACGUGCUUAAGAAUAUUGUUGCAACAGUCUCCGCCCUGCCACGGUCUCCGACCAUCCCUGGGUUUCAAGAUUAUUGCAGAAAUCAUUCUUCUCCUACAAUUUCUUGUCUAUCGGCAAGAAAUUCUGCUUACCAAGGAGAUUUCUGCUGGAAAGACAUUUCCUGAGGAAAAGGUCAUACAGUCUGAUGAUCGAUAAUUUAGCUGGUCAAAAAUUUCAAUAUG